CCUACGGGAGGCAGCAGUGAGGAAUAUUGGUCAAUGGCCGUAAGGCUGAACCAGCCAAGUAGCGUGAGGGAAGAAUGCCCUAUGGGUUGUAAACCUCUUUUAUGCGGGGAUAAUGGUGUGCACGUGUGGAUGUUUGCAGGUACCGCAUGAAUAAGGACUGGCGUAUUCCGUGCCCGCAGCCGCGGUAAUACGGAAGGUCCGGGUGUUAUCCGGAAUUAUUGGGUUUAAAGGGAGCGUUGGCCGGUCUUUAAGCGUGCCGGGAAAUUUUGUGGCUCAACCAUGGGACUGCGGCGCGAACUGGAGACCUUGAGUGCGCGGAAGGCAGGCGGAAUGCGUGGUGUAGCGGUGAAAUGCUUAGAUAUCACGAAGAACCCCGAUUGCGAAGGCAGCCUGCCGCAGCGUUACUGACGCUGAGGCUCGAAAGCGCGGGUAUCGAACAGGAUUAGAUACCCCAGUAGUC
rnacentral:rRNA from 1 species